GUGCCAUUGGCCGAGCGGCAAAAGGUACUGGACUUCCAAUCCGGUCAGGUCGGUUCGACUCCGACAUGGCACU
rnacentral:tRNA from 1 species